UAAGUUUCUGCAUGGUGGUUCUGGAUGGUGGCAGACAGACUCUGUGUAUUUCCAUUGUUGCUGCAGCAUUUGCAGUGAGUUCAUUCCAUCCAAAUGGUGCUGCCUGACUCGGGUUGCGUAGUAACUUCAGAAUCUUGGCCCCUGACAAGGCAAAAUGGCCGCAUCAAUAUGGUCCGUCCAGUUUAUAUGCCAGUUCUAGAUUCUUUAAUCGUGCAUAAGAUUUUUGACCAAGUGUUUGUGUUACAGGGACUGACAAAAAUUAGAAUCAUUCAUAAUUCUCGAACUUGAGUACUCGAAGGAAUGCACAGAAGAUGGAAUGAAUACGCCGCGAGUGGUGGAUGCUUUUGGAAGCUACUUUACCAUAAAAAGAGAAGAUUUUAAUAUGAUAUUGGAAAUCUUGUCAAAAUCUAAGUUGGGUGGCCACAAUGGAUGGACCAGACUCAGUGCAAGUGAUUUGGCAUCAAAAGGCCACUUAAAAAAACAUAUACACACUCUGCUCCAAGAAAGUUCGUAUUCUAUAUACAUAAUCAGCAUCUGGUGUACAUAUGUUGUCUGCCUCUGAUCCAUCAAGCCACGUUUCGAUCUUUUAAUGAAACUUACUAGCAAAAUCAAAAGGUAUAGAAGCUUUAUUUUAAUCUUGUAAUGAAACUUAAACCUUUGCAGGUAUAUAUUCAAAUGAGAUUGAUCAGAUGGACCUGAUCAAAGCCGAUACCAGAAAAUCUCUCUACAAGUUCACCAGAACGUACACGCGAAUCGCAAUCUAGACCGUCUACACUGUGGUCAACACACAAUCAACGGCCAGGAUUACAGAGAAUAAGAAAUGGUUUUACUCUAACCGCUCCUGGCAGUUAGUAUUUCUAGCUCUUGAUCUCAGCUUUCGAUUGCGUGCUUAUCGAUUUGUUCGCUCUUGGUGGAUCCUGCACUCGAAUUUCAGAAGUUGGAGACACUGAAUUAAUCUCUUAGGAUGUGUUGAUUUCAUCACGCUGAAGUUGAUUCAAGAUGGAUAUAUGAUAAUGCUAGCUGCUCUAAACGUUCUAUGUCGUCAUGUCUGCUGUUUUGUGUGGAGCAAUUUCAUGGCAAUGCAUGCAUCAAUGGGGUAACUGUUCCACAAGGUGGCCAUGCAGAUGGUGCUACAGUCUUCAUGAAAUGAUCCAGGUAUAUAUUACCAAAUGGUUAUCAUUAGUAGUAGAAGUAUAUAAAUUCAAUAUAAUUAUUUUAAAUAUAAUAACAAACUGUGUUAAAAAAUAUUAAGCUUUCGUGAAUAGUGCAAAAAACAUAAGUAAACAAAACGACCUUUAUAUUUAUAACCUAAAACUACAGACUUAAUUCAAUCAUACUGAAUUCGAAAUUUGGCACAUGUGUGAAGUUUAUGGGUGAUGAUUAUUUUGGUUGGUUGGAGUUGUUGCUUUCAUAAUAAAUAUGUAAAUUAGUAAUAUUUUAUA